UCGGGAAUUUUGGGCAAUGGGCGAAAGCCUGACCCAGCAACGCCGCGUGAAGGAUGAAGUAUUUCGGUAUGUAAACUUCGUAAGAAUAGGAAGAAUAAAUGACGGUACUAUUUGUAAGGUCCGGCUAACUACGUGCCAGCAGCCGCGGUAAUACGUAGGGACCAAGCGUUGUUCGGAUUUACUGGGCGUAAAGGGCGCGUAGGCGGCAAUUCAAGUCAGCUGUGAAAUCUCCGGGCUUAACUCGGAACGGUCAGCUGAUACUGCUUUGCUAGAGUGCAGAAGGGGCAAUCGGAAUUCUUGGUGUAGCGGUGAAAUGCGUAGAUAUCAAGAGGAACACCUGAGGUGAAGACGGUUGCUGGGCUGACACUGACGCUGAGGCGCGAAAGCCAGGGGAGCAAACGGGAUU
rnacentral:rRNA from 1 species